UGCAUUCACUACUGUAAAUCGUUCUGGAUAAGAGUGUCUGCUAAAUGACUAAAA
rfam:Salmo salar isolate Sally breed double haploid chromosome ssa10, whole genome shotgun sequence.